rnacentral:rRNA from 1 species
GAUGAACGCUGGCGGCGUGCCUAAUACAUGCAAGUCGAGCGAACAGACGAGGAGCUUGCUCCUCUGACGUUAGCGGCGGACGGGUGAGUAACACGUGGAUAACCUACCUAUAAGACUGGGAUAACUUCGGGAAACCGGAGCUAAUACCGGAUAAUAUAUUGAACCGCAUGGUUCAAUAGUGAAAGGCGGUUUUGCUGUCACUUAUAGAUGGAUCCGCGCCGCAUUAGCUAGUUGGUAAGGUAACGGCUUACCAAGGCAACGAUACGUAGCCGACCUGAGAGGGUGAUCGGCCACACUGGAACUGAGACACGGUCCAGACUCCUACGGGAGGCAGCAGUAGGGAAUCUUCCGCAAUGGGCGAAAGCUUGACGGAGCAACGCCGCGUGAGUGAUGAAGGUCUUCGGAUCGUAAAACUCUGUUAUUAGGGAAGAACAAAUGUGUAAGUAACUAUGCACGUCUUGACGGUACCUAAUCAGAAAGCCACGGCUAACUACGUG